rnacentral:rRNA from 1 species
AGCGAACGCUGGCGGCAGGCUUAACACAUGCAAGUCGAGCGGGCGUAGCAAUACGUCAGCGGCAGACGGGUGAGUAACACGUGGGAACGUACCUUUUGGUUCGGAACAACACAGGGAAACUUGUGCUAAUACCGGAUAAGCCCUUACGGGGAAAGAUUUAUCGCCAAAAGAUCGGCCCGCGUCUGAUUAGCUUGUUGGUGAGGUAACGGCUCACCAAGGCGACGAUCAGUAGCUGGUCGAGAGGAUGAUCAGCCACACUGGGACUGAGACACGGCCCAGACUCCUACGGGAGGCAGCAGUGGGGAAUAUUGGACAAUGGGCGAAAGCCUGAUCCAGCCAUGCCGCGUGAGUGAUGAAGGCCCUAGGGUUGUAAAGCUCUUUUGUGCGGGAAGAUAAUGACGGUACCGCAAGAAUAAGCCCCGGCUAACUUCGUGCCAGCCGCCGCAGUAAU